CUAGGAAUAUUCCGCAAUGGACGAAAGUCUGACGGAGCGACGCCGCGUGGAUGAAGAAGGCCGCAAGGUUGUAAAAUCCUUUUGCUGGGGAAGAAUAAGCGCAGGAGGGAAUGCCUGCGUGAUGACAUGAACCGGCGAAUAAGCCCCGGCCAACUACGUGCCAGCAGCCGCUGUAACACGUAGGGGGCAAGCGUUGUUCGGAAUUACUGGGCGUAAAGGGCAUGUAGGCGGUUUAGUAAGCUUGGCGUGAAAGACCACAGCUCAACUGUGGGGUUGCGUUGAGAACUGCUGAACUUGAGUUACGGAGAGGGAGCUAGAAUUCCUGGUGUAGGGGUGGAAUCUGUAGAGAUCAGGAAGAAUACCGAUGGCGAAGGCAAGCUUCUGGUCGAUAACUGACGCUGAGGUGCGAAAGUGUGGGGAUCGAACA
rnacentral:rRNA from 1 species